GUCCACGCCGUAAACGAUGGGUGCUAGGUGCAGGGAGCUUUGACUCUCUCUGUGCCGUAGCUAACGCGUUAAGCACCCCGCCUGGGAAGUACGGCCGCAAGGCUAAAACUCAAAGGAAUUGACGGGGGCCCGCACAAGCGGUGGAGCAUGUGGUUUAAUUCGACGCAACGCGAAGAACCUUACCUGGGCUAGAAAACGUCGGAACCUGGUGGAAACAUCGGGGUGCUCUUCGGAGAGCCGGCGGUUAGGUGCUGCAUGGCUGUCGU
rnacentral:rRNA from 1 species